AAUUUCUUUCCCAAUCUUAUUUGUUUUCAGAUAUGGGAAGAAAACAGCAGUUUCUCCCCUCGUUCUUGUUGGUUUCUCCCUUGUUCUUACUGGGGAAGUCUACAUUAAUUAGUGCACUUUCAGACAGUAAUCUAUAUAGUGAUGCAAGAUUGUUUGCAACAUUGGAUGGUUGAUUAAAAAGUGUUGUUCUUCCUUCAGGAUGGUAAAGACACGAAAUUUCAUGGAGGGAGAUAGUACCUUAGCAACAAAAGCUGUUUGGGAUGAUGAGCUGACGUUGAUAUUUUGUGAGCUUUGUGUGAAUGAAGUCAAUGCUGGUAAUAGACCGACAACUCAUCUAAACUCAAAAGGAUGGGAAAAUGUCAUUGCUCUUUUUCAAGCAAAAACACAAAAAAUUUAUGGAAAACCUCAAUUGAAAAAUAAGUGGGAUACAUUAAAAAAGGAAUGGAGGUUAUGGAGGAAGUUGCUUAAGGAAUCUACAAGUAUUGGAUGGUGUCCAUCUAAAAAGACGGCCGAUGCUACCAAAGAAUAGUGGGCUGCAAAAAUACAGGAAAAUCCUGAUUUUAAAGGAUUUAAGAAGAAAGGAAUUGAACCACGAUUGAAUGAGUUAAUAUGGCAAAUGUUUGCUGGCAUUGUAGCCACAGGAGAGAACGCAUGGGCACCUUCGUCUGGUGUUCUUCCAAGUGGGGUUCCUAUGGGAGAUAAUGCACCUAAUGAGGGUUUUGGUGAUUCAGAUGAACAUAGUAAUGAGAAUGAAGGUAUUCCUCCUGAUGAGGUACCAUCAAACACUUCUCAUGAAAUUCCUAAUCGAAGAAAGCAAACACUUGGGGAUGUACACGGUAAAGGAAAAAAAUCAAGUUCAAGUAGAAAAUCAUCAAGAAAUACAUUAACUACUCAGAUUGAGAAAUUGUGUGAGAGUAUGGCUAGUCCAAGGAAGUCAGUGAAUGAAAUUAUUUUUCCUCACUCUCAAUAUACUAUUUCAAAUGCAACGGAUGCUUUGCGUGCUUUGGGAGAUGAAAUUCCAAAAAAAGAUGAAUUGUACUAUUUUGCCACCAAAAUGUUCCAAAUACCGAUGAAACGAGAAGUGUUUUUGAACUUAGAUCCAGAUGAUAGGGUUUGGUGGCUUCGACGUGAGUAUGUUGAACAAAAUCCAAUUGCAUCAUUUUCAUCCUUGGUAGCAACAUCCUCAUUUCCCUUCCAACCAUACCAUCAACCACCUCCACUAUAAGCUCCUUAGAAUUAUUAUUGUAAUAUAACUAUACUCCUUUUUUAUAUGUAAAACUAAUGUAUGAUACUUUUUAUGUUUGGUAUUUUUAUGUUAUGCUUUUAAUCAA